UCUAUAUAUAUAUAUAAAACCGAAGCUUUUGAAGCUUCCACAAUUUUCCACGUCAGCACGCAUUAAAAAAAUAAUAAUAAAACAAAAAACAAUAAAACCAAAACCAAAAACAAAAACGUCAAAAACCCAUUCCCUACCCGACUCUGCCUUUUCUUUCCAUGCUUUCCCUUUCACGAAUACUCUGCCAUCAGCUCCUCCUCAAUAACACCCACGGCAAGCCAAUCAGACCCACGGCAAUUCAACACCCAACCCAUCCAGCCUACCUUUCCCGAUCCUCUGCCUCUCCCUCUCCACGGCAAGACCCAACAGACACCUUCUUCAGACCACCGAUUUGCCACAAACUUCUUCAGACCAUCGAUUUCGUGGCUUUCCUACACCCAACCCAUCCGGCCUACCUUUCCCGAUCCACAAACUGACCACCGAUUUGCCACAAACUUCUUCAGACCAUCGAUUUCGUGGCUUUCCUAUUGUCUUUAAUUAGGGAAACACUCAUAGAAAUUAAAAUUCUACAGGUUUUGUAAGAAAGUGGAGAUGUAUUGAAGAGCCUCCCAACCUUCAAAAUCUGACAACAAUCCGGUUUUGCUUUACCUUCAGUGUAGUUAUUAUAUCAAAGAAUGGAGAUUGGAGAGCCAAAUCUGAAUCCCAGCGCUAAAAUCAAAGAAUCUGCAAUUGAAGCCAGCCUUCUUUGAAGAGCAAAUUCUAAACCCGAGGUUUAAAGGAAAGAAAUGAGAUUUUAGAAGGAGAAAGCUUGGGUCAAAAUUGUCUAAUUGCAGUUGCUAUUGGCUUAUGUGUAAAUUAAAUGUCUAGAAAAAAGAUAGAUGUGGCAAUAGUGUUUAUUGAAAUUCUUGACGCAUUGAAUGUUUAGGAGCACGAUCUCCAAAAAUACAGUAGAGCGAAAAUUAGAUUCGUGU